rnacentral:rRNA from 1 species
UGGGGAAUAUUGGACAAUGGGCGAAAGCCUGAUCCAGCAAUUCCGCGUGUGUGAAGAAGGCCUUAGGGUUGUAAAGCACUUUAGACCGGGACGAAAAAGCGCAACCUAAUACGUUGUGCCUUGACGGUACCGGAGGAAUAAGCACCGGCUAACUCUGUGCCAGCAGCCGCGGUAAUACAGAGGGUGCAAGCGUUAAUCGGAUUUACUGGGCGUAAAGCGUGCGUAGGAGGCUGCAUAAGUCGGUUGUGAAAUCCCUGGGCUCAACCUGGGAAUUGCUUCCGAUACUGUGUGGCUAGAGUUCGGUAGAGGGUGGCGGAACUCCCGGUGUAGCGGUGAAAUGCGUAGAUAUCGGGAAGAACACCGAUGGCGAAGGCAACCACCUGGGCCUGAACUGACUCUGAGGCACGAAAGCGUGGGGAGCAAACAGG